GACGUAGGGCGCGAGCGUUUGUCCGGAUUUAUUGGGCGUAAAGAGCUCGUAGGCGGCUUGUCGCGUCAACUGUGAAAACCCGUGGCUCAACCAUGUGGUCUGCAGUCGAUACGGGCAGGCUAGAAUUCGGUAGGGGAGACUGGAAUUCCUGGUGUAGCGGUGAAAUGCGCAGAUAGUCAGGAGGAACACCGGUGGCGAAGGCGGUCUCUGGGCCGAUAUUGACGCUGAGGAGCGAAAGCGUGGGGAGCGAACAGG
rnacentral:rRNA from 1 species